rnacentral:rRNA from 1 species
AACGAACGCUGGCGGCAUGCCUAACACAUGCAAGUCGAACGAGACCUUCGGGUCUAGUGGCGCACGGGCGCGUAACGCGUGGGAAUCUGCCCUUAGGUUCGGAAUAACUCCCCGAAAGGGGUGCUAAUACCGGAUAAUGUCUUCGGACCAAAGAUUUAUCGCCUUUGGAUGGGCCCGCGUUGGAUUAGCUAGUUGGUAGGGUAAAAGCCUACCAAGGCGACGAUCCAUAGCUGGUCUGAGAGGAUGAUCAGCCACACUGGGACUGAGACACGGCCCAGACUCCUACGGGAGGCAGCAGUGGGGAAUAUUGGACAAUGGGCGAAAGCCUGAUCCAGCAAUGCCGCGUGAGUGAUGAAGGCCUUAGGGUUGUAAAGCUCUUUUACCCGGGAUGAUAAUGACAGUACCGGGAGAAUAAGCUCCGGCUAACUCCGUG